rnacentral:lncRNA from 1 species
AAUUGUAGUAUACUAUGCCUAGUUGUUUUUAGUAGGUUUCCCAUUCCAUGUAUGUCAUGCUUAGUUGUAGUUUUGAUCAUGUGAACAAGUUAUGAUGAUGUUGCUGUUUGAUAAGGUCAAAUAUUACUAACUCCAAUAAUCUGAUUAUUUCAGACUACCAUGUUGAAUUGAUGCCAGCUAUGAUUGUGUGCAUAUUUAAAC